UACGUAGGGGGCAAGCGUUGUCCGGAUUUACUGGGCGUAAAGAGCGUGUAGGCGGCCAAGCAGGUCCGUUGUGAAAACUGGAGGCUUAACCUCCAGACGUCGACGGAGACCGCGUGGCUAGAGUCCGGAAGAGGAGAGUGGAAUUCCUGGUGUAGCGGUGAAAUGCGCAGAUAUCAGGAAGAACACCAAUGGCGAAGGCAGCUCUCUGGGACGGUACUGACGCUGAGACGCGAAAGCGUGGGGAGCGAUCCGG
rnacentral:rRNA from 1 species